GAGUGACACAGAAGACGGGUGAUUUCUGCAUUUCCAUUUGAGAAAUUAAGAAUGUUCCCAAAGAAUGAUGGAGACAUUUCAAAAGGAUACAGAAGCCAGAUUGUGGGCACUUCUACUGGCCAACACUGGGACAUCGUGGACAUCAAAAUAAACUUGUAAUAGUAAAGGAUUAUAGCCUAUUUAUUAGAUAAAAUCAGAUUUUUCUGAUUUAACUAAAUGAGUAGAAGGAAAAGAAAGCUCUUCCUUAUAUUAGAAAGUCAAUUAAUAAAUGCAGAAAGGAAUGAAAAAAUUAGAAAAGCCACCACUUGGCAACCAUGGCAGGCAGAAUGGGGAGCAUGCCUCCAGACAGUAAUUCCUUUCAAACUGGUUUAUAGGAACUCACUGAGCUUGCUGAUCGACCUCUGAGAGGCAAAGUUUCUGAAUUUUGAAGCACUGAUUAUAUAAACUUAGACAGAGACAUGCUUCAUUAUUUAAUAGGACUGUGUCAAAAGCCUACUAUUAGGACGAUGUGUUGGGUGUGGAACAGGGUCUCUUCCUGCCAGGGACACUGGUGAUUUCACUCCGUGUUCAGACUGAUCUUUGAAGUUGAAGACAAGCAGAAGAAUCCUUCUAAAAUUUAGCCAUGCCCAUAGGCUGGGAGGGACACUGCUCCAUUCAGAGGCAGCAAAGCACAUUACUGUAUCUCCUAUAGAGCUUUGAGCAGUCCAGUGCACAUGGAGAAACUUAAUAAAUGUUUGUUGAAUUAAUGAAUGAACAAAUGAAUGGACCAAGUCAGGGAUAAGUCUUACAUUUGUCAUCUAGGUGGUUAAGAAAGGAAAAAGUAUCUGUUUCAAGAGGAUUACAAUCUAAUUUUACUCCAAUAGUAAAAUUUACUCUUUUGGAAUCUGAAGACA